rnacentral:lncRNA from 1 species
GUUUGAGGUAAUGGUAGGUUAUACUUUGUGUAUAAUGUAUUAAGGGGAGAUAAUCAAUCCAAAUGACUUCAUAGGGGGUGAACAAUAAAGAUUUGUUUUAUACUGUCAGGUUUGAGGUAAUGGUAGGUUAUACUUUGUGUAUAAUGUAUUAAGGGGAGAUAAUCAAUCCAAAUGACUUCAUAGGGGGUGAACAAUAAAGAUUUGUUUUAUACUGUCAGGUUUGAGGUAAUGGUAGGU